GGAGGAAAGUAGGGGAUCGUAAGACCUUGCGCUUUUGGAGUGGCCGAUGCCUGAUUAGCUAGUUGGUGGGGUAAGAGCCUACCAAGGCGACGAUCAGUAGUUGGUCUGAGAGGACGACCAGCCACACUGGGACUGAGACACGGUCCAGACUCCUACGGGAGGCAGCAGUGGGGAAUUUUGGACAAUGGGCGAAAGCCUGACCCAGCAAUGCCGCGUGAGUGAAGAAGGCCUUCGGGUUGUAAAGCUCUUUCAGUCGAGAAGAAAAGGUUGCGACUAAUAAUCGCGACUCAUGACGGUAUCGACAGAAGAAGCACCGGCUAACUACGUGCCAGCAGCCGCGGUAAUACGUAGGGUGCGAGCGUUAAUCGGAAUUACUGGGCGUAAAGGGUGCGCAGGCGGCUUUGUAAGUCAGAUGUGAAAUCCCCGGGC
rnacentral:rRNA from 1 species